rnacentral:tRNA from 1 species
AUAUGCAUAGCUAAUUGAUUAUGCGGUGAAACCAUGUGGUUGUUGAGGGGAUGAACUAGUUAUUAUUUCUUGUGGGUGAAUUGAUGUAUGGGUUAUCAAUAUUUGUUCUAUUGCUUGAGUUAAUUGCUUGAUGCAUGAG